rnacentral:rRNA from 1 species
GAGAACGCUGGCGGCGUGGAUUAGGCAUGCAAGUCGAACGGUAGGAUACCUUCGGGUAUCUGAGAGUGGCGAACGGGUGAGUAACACGUAGGUGAUCUACCCUCAAGAUUGGGAACAACCCAGGGAAACUUGGGCUAAUACCGGAUGAAAGCAGCAGUGAUGUUGUUUGAAAGGUGGCGUAAGCUGCCGUUUGGGGGAUGAGCCUGCGCUCUAUUAGUUAGUUGGCGGGGUAAAGGCCCACCAAGGCGAUGAUAGAUAGGCGGCCUUAACGGGUGGUCGCCCACACUGGGAUUGAGAUACGGCCCAGACUCCUACGGGAGGCAGCAGUCGAGAAUAGUCUACAAUGGCCGAAAGGCUGAUAGUGCGACGCCGCGUGAACGAAGAAGCCCUUCGGGGUGUAAAGUUCUUUUAUAUGUGAGCAGUGCUUUCUAUGUGAACAGCAUGGGGAGAGAGAUAUUAGCAUAUGAAUAAGCAACGGCUAACUCCGUG